UAUUGGAUACCAGCAGUUAUUAUUUUCUAAGCUUUUAAUAAUAGGUACACUAACCGACAAUUUCGUAUACGAACGAAUUCAAAAACCUAAGUUAGUAGAUGAACGAAAUCCCUUAUUUUCAUGAAACGAUGCAAAGAUGAAUCUGGGUGUGAAAAUAUCACCGACAUAGAUCAAAUGUCUGUGGUAAAUAUAAAUAUCGGAACUUGACUGGCGACGCUACUGGCGUGUCUAGAUACAAUGUUCCAAAUGGAUACAAAAUAUUAAACGCAAAGCUACAAUAAUUCCUUCUUGACCGCCGGCUUUUUCAACCCUGUCGCAGAUAACCUGAAAAAUAUUAACAAGAGGAGUCUGGUUUCAACCCUCUACUUUACAAAUGUGCACCCGGAAAACCAUCGGCAGCCAGUAGCCACAUUCCGCCGCAAUCUGUAGUAAAAUGUUAAACGCAUACAUCCUAUUAUAAUUUGCUGAAAUCGCCAGAUACUUGUUCUAAAAAUCUUGCUGCCUGCCUAAAAUAAGUAGGCAUACUCAUCAUUUGGAAAAUCUAAGUCAAAUAAUAUUUGUGCCUAAUUAUUCGGAAUAAUUAAAAUCUUACGACAUCCAUCCGAAAAGUUGUGGACAUCUUGUAAAUUUGUCCAGAACUGGAUCCUCGAACGACCUUUAAAGGUCGUCCUAGUCUUACAGAAUAGUCCAAAAGCCUAUUGAAAUAUUUAGAAAUACCUACUCGAUCAUCAUCACACAUUCUUCACAAGCUUUCAUAUUUUUCAAGCACCAACAAUUAUUAUAUUUAAUGCUGAACGAGUCGCAAAAAUAUAUGAGUAAAACACUCUCGAAAGAGAUUGAUAAGUAUAUCGAGACUAUAAAUGAGAAAAUAUAAAACGUCUUAUUGAAUGGCCACAAUCACAUUAUGCCAUGAUUUUUUGACAAAUUGUCCUACUUAAAUAAGUUGUCCAGAAUAUUUGCAAGAAAUUCUUUAUGAUGAAGUUAACACGAACACGAAGCUUCAUACUUUUCAGGUAAAAUUACAGUAAGCAACUGUCCUAUCAACAAUAUUGUGUAAUGUGUUGCAUGGUCAUUUCAAUUACAUUUGAUACCUCUAUAUAAUACAGUAUGUACACAUCUAUUGAGACGGAAAUAAUCUAAUAAGUAUAGGUACCUACUUACAUAUUAAGCAACUCGCGCUUUGGUCUUCUGAAUUACGAGGUAAGUAAGUUCUAAUUUCAAAGAGUUGCAGGUAGUACUUGCUCCCAUAAGAUGGGCACCAAAUUUGUUAUAAAGGGACAAAAUAACAAAAAAGAAAUAUAAACACUUGUGGAAAUAGAAUACUUACCAACAUGCCAAUGACAAAAUUCAUCAUUAUAAAAUGGUAUGAUGAAAUACACAAAAUAUGGAUUGGCUUACACAGCCUACAUAUCUCACAAUGAGAAACCAAUAAUGAAAACACAAACAAACAAUAAAAAAAAAAUAACUACGUAAUUCUCGGACUCGAUUUGGUCUUCGGAAUUGCGAGGUAAGUCCUAAUUUCAAAGAGUUACAGGCUGCCUGCUACCUAACUAGGUCCAAGGU